UAAAGUGCGAUAUGUAGUGCGAUUUGCAUGAAUCUGUGAGUCAUCUAAUUUUUGAACGCAACUUGCGCCUCUCUGAGGCAUGUCUGUUUGAGUGCCGCAUACUUCUAUGCAGCAAUGCGAUUUGAUCAAUGUCUCUGGACUUGGUCUAAACGUAGCCAGAUAGUGGCCAGCGCUGCUAGUCCGAGUGCUAAGCAUUCUUGGGUCUAGCAUCGUAGCCAUAAAUCUAAUUAUUUUUGGCCUCAAAUCAGGCAAGACUACCCGCUGAACUUAA
rnacentral:misc_RNA from 1 species